rnacentral:rRNA from 1 species
GGCUUAGAGUUUGAUCCUGGCUCAGAUUGAACGCUGGCGGAAUGCUUUACACAUGCAAGUCGAACGGCAGCACGGGGGCAACCCUGGUGGCGAGUGGCGAACGGGUGAGUAAUGUAUCGGAACGUGCCCAGUCGUGGGGGAUAACUACCCGAAAGGAUAGCUAAUACCGCAUACGUCCUGAGGGAGAAAGCGGGGGACCUGCAAGGGCCUCGCGCGAUUGGAGCGGCCGAUAUCGGAUUAGCUAGUUGGUGGGGUAAAGGCCCACCAAGGCGACGAUCCGUAGCGGGUCUGAGAGGACGACCCGCCACACUGGAACUGAGACACGGUCCAGACUCCUACGGGAGGCAGCAGUGGGGAAUUUUGGACAAUGGGCGCAAGCCUGAUCCAGCCAUUCCGCGUGAGUGAAGAAGGCCUUCGGGUUGUAAAGCUCUUUCAGCAGGAACGAAACGGUCGGCCUGAAUACGUCCGGCUAAG